UACAGGGGGGGCAAGCGUUGUUCGGAAUUACUGGGCGUAAAGGGCUCGUAGGCGGCCAACUAAGUCACACGUGAAAUCCCCAGGCUUAACCUGGGAACUGCGUGUGAUACUGGAUGGCUUGAAUCCGGGAGAGGGAUGCAGAAUUCCAGGUGUAGCGGUGAAAUGCGUAGAUAUCUGGAGGAAUACCGGUGGCGAAGGCGGCAUCCUGGACCGGCAUUGACGCUGAGACACGAAAGCGUGGGUAGCAAACAGG
rnacentral:rRNA from 1 species